AAUAACUGGCGGCAGGCUUACACAUGCAAGUCCCAACGGUAGCAGGAAGAAGCUUGCUUCUUUGCUGACGAGUGGCGGACGGGUGAGUAAUGCUUGGGAAUCUGGCUUAUGGAGGGGGAUAACUACUGGAAACGGUAGCUAAUACCGCGUAAUGUCUUAGGACUAAAGGGUGGGACCGUAAGGCCACCUGCCAUAAGAUGAGCCCAAGUGGGAUUAGGUAGUUGGUGAGGUAAAGGCUCACCAAGCCCGCGAUCUCUAGCUGGUCUGAGAGGAUGACCAGCCACACUGGAACUGAGACACGGUCCAGACUCCUACGGGAGGCAGCAGUGGGGAAUAUUGCACAAUGGGGGGAACCCUGAUGCAGCCAUGCCGCGUGAAUGAAGAAGGCCUUCGGGUUGUAAAGUUCUUUCGGUGACGAGGAAGGCGAUUGUUUUAAUAGAACAGUCGAUUGACGUUAAUCACAGAAGAAGCACCGGCUAACUCCGUGCCAGCAGCCGCGGUAAU
rnacentral:rRNA from 1 species